ensembl:lncRNA
UCCUAUUCAAAUAUAGAUCAUUAUAAGCACUUGCCGAGCAGUUAAUAUCUUCACUGGUCUCUGCUCCGAGAGAGUUAAAGCUGCUCGAUCUCGAGCCCCCGCUCUCUCGGCUGCUUUCGGAAAGUCUUUGGACCUGACUCCUUAAAGCGCUUUGGCACCUGUUCGCUGCAAGGGGGUUUUAGGCACGUGCCGAAACGGCUCCCCGUAGCCCUCGCGUGGGCGGCCGCGGCCCACCAGCGCGGGAGUCGCUCCCCUCGCUCGCUGCUGGAUCUCAAUCCCCUACCAGAUGCCUUCAGCUUUUUCUCUAUCUCUUUUUACUUGUUUUUUUUUUUUAUUUUUUUCACUUUUUUUCCCCCCCUCCAGAAUCGCUUCCCCCUAGUGCAGCGCACAGCUAAGUGACGUGGGCCGAGCACGUGGCUAACGAACGGCGCUUAAUAUUUACAUACAAAAAUAGAUGGGUUUGAGCGCCUCMAACCCUGUCCUCUGCGAGCGGCAUCUUCGCCCGGUGGAGACAAAACUGCCCCAACCCCUUCACCCAUAAAUAUUGCGGCGGCCGGGCAAGACCCGGCUUUCCCCGAGCUUCCCGCUCUGCUUCGUCCCCGCUGCGGGUCUGAUCUCCGUCGCCUUCAUCCACCUGCGGCACCUGAAGGAAGAGACUUACUGCCAUGGGAGACCUUAAAAAAGAAAGAAAACGGCCCGAGGGCGGAGGGACAAAGUUCGUUCCCAGCUUCGCCGCCCAACCGCACGUUUCUUUGCGGGUCUCUGCGGUUUUGGUUGCUUCGGAAGGAAAGCUUGAGGACGCCAACUGAGCCGAUGAACCUCACGGGAAGGAACCACCGUGGGCUGGACUGAUGGAAAAACCCAAAACGUCCUCAAGCUACCUGGUUCCCGCUCGCCCGUACCCGAUUCUUCCAUCUUUUCCACCGCUUGCGAGGGAAAAUGCGACCACGGAAGUCCCUACCAGGCCGGGACGUUGCAGGACACGUAGCCCCCGGUGUCCAGGGAGGGAGGACGUGCACCAGGUCGUCUUUCAUGAGCGUGUCCAGAGGAACGAUCCAGCUGUCGCCCAGCUCCCCGUUGAGGUUCACCUUCUUCUCCUGCAUCUCCGAGGAGGUCUCCAUCACCUCCAGCGUGGGGUUGUCGUGGUAGCCGUUCUCCAUGGUCUGCAGCUCCUCGGUCAGGCGCUGCUGCGAGGAGAGAAGCCCAGGCGCCGCGGUGAGAGGCGGCACGGCCCGGGGGCGCCCGUCCGGCUCGGGACCCCCCGCAGCCGCCGGCGUCUCCCAGCCAGCAYGCGGAUGCUAAGCUAAAAUCACGCUGCUUCAGGGCUGGAGCAACGCUAUUAGCUCUGGGUGUCUCUUUCCUUCAACUGAUGCUCCUGCCAGCCUGGACCCCACGGUUGGAAGAUGCAGGCGUCCUCCACGCCGUCGGGGCAUGAGUCUGGACAGGAGAACCCAGCUCGCCCCGGGAUUUCCUCCCUUCCGCUUCCUCCCUCUCCCGAUAUUGCUUUGAGUUUUGCAGGCAGGGUGAGCUUGCGGAGCCCACCAGCGCUUGAUUGCUUUCCAAAAAGCACUUUGAGAUGAUUCCUUUUUUUUUGGGGGGGGGCCUUUCCACUGGGAGGAGAAUGGAUUGGUUUGGGGGUCUUUGAGUUGAGAAAAACCCUCAAAAAAAAGCCAAAAACAUCUGGCAGAAGCUCUGCAGUUUGGAACAGUUCUGCCAGUCAUCUCUCAUCUGGGGAAGAAGCCUUUCUCAUCAGAAUUAUGCCUUGACUGGAGGACGCUAGUCAGCACUGGGUGGCCUGGUGACCUGGGUGGGACGGAUGCUGCUCGUCUCUGCGCCCUGACACCACCAGCCCUUCGUUGCCCUGUUCUUUGCCCUUGCUGCUCCCCCCGGGAGCCCCAUCAGCAGCUACUGCCCCUCCGAAGCACCAGCAGCUCCGGGGACUCGGCUCAUCCUGCUGCAAUAUCACCCUGCA